rnacentral:rRNA from 1 species
UACGAAGGGGGCGAGCGUUAUUCGGAAUCACUGGGCGUAAAGCGUGCGUAGGCUGUUUGACAAGUUGGAAGUGAAAGCCCAGGGCUCAACCCUGGAACUGCUUUCAAAACUGUCAGACUCGAAUUCGGGAGAGGAUAGCGGAAUUUCCAGUGUAGUAGUGAAAUACGUAGAUAUUGGAAGGAACACCAGUGGCGCAAGCGGCUAUCUGGACCGACAUUGACGCUGAGGCACGAAAGCGUGGGGAUCAAACAGG